rnacentral:rRNA from 1 species
UACGUAAGGGGCAAGCGUUGUCCGGAUUUAUUGGGCGUAAAGAGCGUGUAGGCGGCUAGGUAGGUCCGUUGUGAAAACUCGAGGCUCAACCUCGAGACGCCGGUGGAAACCAUCUAGCUAGAGUCCGGAAGAGGAGAGUGGAAUUCCUGGUGUAGCGGUGAAAUGCGCAGAUAUCAGGAGGAACACCGGUGGCGAAGGCGGGUCUCUGGGCCGAUACUGACGCUGAGGAGCGAAAGCGUGGGGAGCGAACAGG